AGAGUUUGAUCCUGGCUCAGAUUGAACGCUGGCGGCAUGCCUUACACAUGCAAGUCGAACGGCAGCAUGAUCUACCUUGCUAGAUUGAUGGCGAGUGGCGAACGGGUGAGUAAUACAUCGGAACGUGCCCUGUAGUGGGGGAUAACUAGUCGAAAGAUUAGCUAAUACCGCAUACGACCUGAGGGUGAAAGUGGGGGACCGCAAGGCCUCAUGCUAUAGGAGCGGCCGAUGUCUGAUUAGCUAGUUGGUGGGGUAAAGGCCCACCAAGGCGACGAUCAGUAGCUGGUCUGAGAGGACGAUCAGCCACACUGGGACUGAGACACGGCCCAGACUCCUACGGGAGGCAGCAGUGGGGAAUUUUGGACAAUGGGGGCAACCCUGAUCCAGCAAUGCCGCGUGUGUGAAGAAGGCCUUCGGGUUGUAAAGCACUUUUGUCCGGAAAGAAAUCGCACUUACUAAUAUUAGGUGUGGAUGACGGUACCGGAAGAAUAAGGACCGGCUAACUACGUGCCAGCAGCCGCGGUAAUACGUAGGGUCCAAGCGUUAAUCGGAAUUACUGGGCGUAAAGCGUGCGCAGGCGGUUGUGCAAGACCGAUGUGAAAUCCCCGGGCUUAACCUGGGAAUUGCAUUGGUGACUGCACGGCUAGAGUGUGUCAGAGGGGGGUAGAAUUCCACGUGUAGCAGUGAAAUGCGUAGAGAUGUGGAGGAAUACCGAUGGCGAAGGCAGCCCCCUGGGAUAACACUGACGCUCAUGCACGAAAGCGUGGGGAGCAAACAGGAUUAGAUACCCUGGUAGUCCACGCCCUAAACGAUGUCAACUAGUUGUUGGGGAUUCAUUUCCUUAGUAACGUAGCUAACGCGUGAAGUUGACCGCCUGGGGAGUACGGUCGCAAGAUUAAAACUCAAAGGAAUUGACGGGGACCCGCACAAGCGGUGGAUGAUGUGGAUUAAUUCGAUGCAACGCGAAAAACCUUACCUACCCUUGACAUGCCACUAACGAAGCAGAGAUGCAUUAGGUGCUCGAAAGAGAAAGUGGACACAGGUGCUGCAUGGCUGUCGUCAGCUCGUGUCGUGAGAUGUUGGGUUAAGUCCCGCAACGAGCGCAACCCUUGUCUCUAGUUGCUACGAAAGGGCACUCUAGAGAGACUGCCGGUGACAAACCGGAGGAAGGUGGGGAUGACGUCAAGUCCUCAUGGCCCUUAUGGGUAGGGCUUCACACGUCAUACAAUGGUGCAUACAGAGGGUUGCCAAGCCGCGAGGUGGAGCUAAUCCCAGAAAAUGCAUCGUAGUCCGGAUCGUAGUCUGCAACUCGACUACGUGAAGCUGGAAUCGCU
rnacentral:rRNA from 1 species